GGACUACCCACAAGGAUGGGCACCCUGACUUCUCUAAUGUCUGUAAAUCAGACAGCAUGUGCUUUUUGGAAAUCCAGUGUUAAUUGGUGAUGGCAGCGAGUUAUUUCAGGGCUAAGGAAGCAGGGUGGCUGGCAUGAAAAGCAGCCUUUCCCUGGAAAAAUUGGCGCUCAACGUGAUCAACUAAACCAAUAAAAUAUAUGAAAUACAAAAGAAAUACUGGAAAUCCCUGAACAUGUUUACAUCGGCUCACUCCUUCUCUGGAAUCUAGCUUGUAUGAAAAAUUCACAAAAAAGGUCUCUGCAUCAUUGCUUGAUCUAAACCAGCCCUUGGGUAAGAAGAGGAGUGCUUUUGUGAUAAGAGGAGAUUUAUAGAGUUUCCAACUUCUGUGAAGGUUAUAAUGGUCCUGCUUUUUCACCUCAAUUUCUCUGUGUCCAAGGGACCAUGCUUGGGAAAUAAAGGAGUAAAGCCUGGCUGAAAGAAAUGACAGAGUGAGUAGACAGAUUCCAGGAGAAGCCAAGUAGCUGCUGCAAGAGGCAAAUGCCUCAACAGCAACCUGCCAAAACUUUUCCAGUAAGGAUAUUUGCUUUGGAAAAGAGCUUAUACUUCCUUUGCAAAGAGAAUGGAAACCUGUGGAUUUCUCAAGAUAAAUGUGAUUCUAGGGAAAAAGAUGCACUUAAAGAUCUAAAUAAACUCCUCCAAAUACUUAGCCCAAUAAACAGCAGGAAGAAGUUAGGAAAGAGGACUUUUCAUGACUUUGCGACACAUACUCAUCUGCUCCUGGUAGCAUCAAUUACUUCAAGAGGAAGAUGGGCAUCUAGCAGGCUCCUAAUGGAGUUUGCUAGCCAUUUGGGCAAGAAACUGUUUUUGCCUGGACUGCUUAAUGAUAUCUUGUAUUAAUUAUACAAUAUUAGACAUGCUGGACCCACAGAGAAAUGUCUGCUAAAGUUGCCUCGAGAAGGUGAGAGAAGAAUUUAACAGAUCCUGCUUUAUGAAAGGGUCUGUAAGUCAAUCUGCAGGACAUAGAAGAAAGUGACUGACAAACUGCCAUUAUAGGGGGAACUGUCUUUGGAAUUUCUUGAUAAAGUCUGCAAGGAACUAUGGGCCAGUAAGAUGAA